rnacentral:rRNA from 1 species
CAGUCGCCGCGGUAAUACGGAGGAUCCAAGCGUUAUCCGGAAUCAUUGGGUUUAAAGGGUCCGUAGGCGGUCUUGUAAGUCAGUGGUGAAAGCCCAUCGCUCAACGGUGGAACGGCCAUUGAUACUGCAGGACUUGAAUUAUUGGGAAGUAACUAGAAUAUGUAGUGUAGCGGUGAAAUGCUUAGAGAUUACAUGGAAUACCAAUUGCGAAGGCAUGUUACUACCAAUUGAUUGACGCUGAUGGACGAAAGCGUGGGUAGCGAACAGGAUUAGAUACCCCCGUAGUCCCUGUCUCUUAUAC